rnacentral:rRNA from 1 species
GUACACUCCUACGGGAGGCAGCAGUGGGGAAUUUUGGACAAUGGGGGCAACCCUGAUCCAGCAAUGCCGCGUGAGUGAAGAAGGCCUUCGGGUUGUAAAGCUCUUUUGUCAGGGAAGAAACGGUGGUGGCGAAUAACUACUACUAAUGACGGUACCUGAAGAAUAAGCACCGGCUAACUACGUGCCAGCAGCCGCGGUAAUACGUAGGGUGCAAGCGUUAAUCGGAAUUACUGGGCGUAAAGCGUGCGCAGGCGGUUGUGUAAGUCAGAUGUGAAAUCCCCGGGCUCAACCUGGGAAUUGCAUUUGAGACUGCACGGCUAGAGUGUGUCAGAGGGGGGUAGAAUUCCACGUGUAGCAGUGAAAUGCGUAGAUAUGUGGAGGAAUACCGAUGGCGAAGGCAGCCCCCUGGGAUAACACUGACGCUCAUGCACGAAAGCGUGGGGAGCAAACAGGAUUAGAUACCCUUGUAGUCCC